UAGCAAUACAGUAGAAGUUCUAGUGGCGAACGGGUGCGUAACACGUGGGCAAUCUGCCUUAAAGUGGGGGAUAGCUCGGCGAAAGCCGGAUUAAUACCGCAUGUGAUCAGGGGAGACAUCUUCCCAAAAUCAAAGUCGGGGCAACCUGACGCUUUUUGAGGAGCCCGCGGCCUAUCAGCUAGUUGGUGAGGUAACGGCUCACCAAGGCGUUGACGGGUAGCUGGUCUGAGAGGACGACCAGCCACACUGGGACUGAGACACGGCCCAGACACCUACGGGUGGCAGCAGUCGAGAAUUUUUGACAAUGGGGGAAACCCUGAUCGAGCGACGCCGCGUGGAGGAUGAAGGUCUUCGGGUUGUAAACUCCUGUCAUUUGGGAACAAGGCGUAUUUAUUAACUGUAAGUACGUUGAUAGUACCAGAAGAGGAAGAGACGGCUAACUCUGUGCCAGCAGCCGCGGUAAUACAGAGGUCUCAAGCGUUGUUCGGAUUCAUUGGGCGUAAAGGGUGUGUAGGUGGCGCGCUAAGUCGGGCGUGAAAUUUCGGAGCUUAACUCCGAAACUGCAUUCGAUACUGGCGUGCUUGAGGACUGGAGAGGAGACUGGAAUUCACGGUGUAGCA
rnacentral:rRNA from 1 species